ACUGAGGUCAGGAAGGCAGAUGGUGCUGCUGGCCUGCUGCCUUACAACCCCUUCCAUCCUCCUCUUCCCUGGUAGUGAAAAUACCUCAUUAGGUUUAGGAGGUGUGGCAGAAAGGAGAGGGGAGGAAAACUCUGUUCUUUCACCUGACAAAAAGAAAAAGAAUAGUUUUGGAAAGAUCUGUUGGUUAGGUGAGAACUACUUUCAUUUUCUGGCUUCUCCUCCUUGCACAUCCCCUAGAAGCUAUGAGGCAUCUGGAGGUGUUGCUCCAUGCUGUGUCCAUGCUCACUGUUACAUUAAUUUCAAUAAAUCAUGCAAAUGAAAAAAAAAAAAAAGAAAAAACCCUAAAACCUUCCUUCUGUGCAAAAAUAAAUCAAAAUGUUAAAGUUUGCAAUCCAGAUUUUUGUCCAAUGUGAAAAGAGCUGUUGUGUAAUGGCCUGUCCCUUUCUUCUCUCUGAAGGUCCCAACCCCAUGUGUCCCACUUGUCUGGAAUAACCUUUGGAGUCUGGCAGUCUGGUCCUUUUCAUAGCUCCAGAGGAUUUUUAGGAGCAUGGGGAGCAUGGGAUGCAUGGACCUGUGGACCCACAAAACCAUCUGGAGAAUGCUGGCUGUGGAUAAAAGCAUCUGGAAGUUUCUACCAUCUUUUUACUCUGUUUUUCCCUGGGUCACCCUGUGUCAUUUGUGGCCCUGUCCUGAGGAUUACAGCUUACAGUCACUUACUGGAAUACCUCCUCAUGCAUCUUCUUGAAAUGGAGCCAUUGCUUUACCCAGCUGGAAGAUAUUUUCUGUUCUCCCAGAGCUUUUCCAGUGCAGCAGCAGCACUCCUGUCCAGCAGGUCUGGAUUGACUGCAGAAAGGAGAAGGGAGGAGCGUGUCAAAGGGAGGUCAGAUCCUGCCAGGGUUUCCUGGGAAAUGAGGUUUUGCUGUAUUUGCCUCUUCAGGCCUGAUGGGAGGAUUGUAGACUGCUGUUGUGCUUGGGAGUAUCAGAAGGGCUGGAGACUAUCUGGAAUAUGUUGAGGUGUAUCCACUGUUUGGAUGAUGAAACUUGAUGAGCUGCAAUUUGGCUUGGAUUACAGUACUUCAGAAGACUUUCUGAACUUGCCACGCAACCCUCCCCCUAGACUUUGGGGACAGAGGAGCUUAAAUUUAUAUUUCCAGCAUCACACAAGGAGAUAGAAUGGAGUUGGCUGCUUUACACAAGUAAUGAAAAUCAAUGCUGUGUUGCUCUUGGAAGAAGUGCUCAAAAGGACAAAAGCCUGGCAUAUACAUCUUGGUUUAGAGACAGAUUUUACCUGGGAAGAGUGUGCCCAGGAGAAGAUACCAGAAGGAGAAGAGGUGAUGCUACAAGCCAGCUUCCUGACCUCCAGAGUGGGACUGAAGCUUUGUAACAAGAUUUAUCUGGAAAGUAUGACUGACAGGAGCAGCUUACUCACCAUUAGAUAAGUAUUGCAGAUGACUCAUGCUGGAGUAUUGAUAGUUGUGCUGCUGAGAUGGAUAUCCUGUUUUAUAACAGCUGUAGUGUGAUGCCAAGAGCCAGGAACCUUAAUUUCACUAUCCGUGCUUUUCUGUGAACGUGCAUUGGGUCUCUGGCACCUUUGCUCCUUGGUUUGUUCAUCUAAAGGGUUCACAGGGAGGGGAAGUUUUGCUUCCCUCAGGGGGUACAGGGUAUGGGGCAGCUCAUGUCACCUUGAAAUGAAAGCUAGUGUUGAAAGGCUGCAGCUUUUAUAGCUGUUCUCCACAACAUGCAAUAUUUGUCUUUUUAAUAGAUGCCAUUAGUGACUUUCUCUCGAUACUUUGGGGUUUUUUUUUGUUUUGCUUGUGUUUUUCCAGAGCCAUCGUACCCCUUCUUCAGCAGAACAAACCAGAAGGUGUAGAAACAGAUUUUCUAAGUAUGGAAGCUCUCCUGAGGAGCUGCAUUAUGCACUGCUGCCCCUGGGAUGGGACGCAGAGCAAGGAGUGAAGAAGAGCUGCAAUAUGCCACUGCUUUUGUGAGGAGAGGGGCUUUCUGGCGUGUCACAUAGUGCCAAAAGACAUUUUACUCUUGGCAGCAAGAAUCCUUAUCCUUCUUGUUUGUUUUAUUUUUUUCCAGGACAGAUGCUAUUUCCUGUUAGAGAUGCUUUGUAUGCAAAUCAAGGUGGUACAACAAGAAAAAAGUCCUGAAAGCAAUCACACUGAUAAACUCAGCCCACUGGGGAAUUCCUGCUUAUCAUUUAUCUUUUGUUUUUUCAGUUCUGUACCAGAUACUUCUUUGCCUGUGCUUUCUUACAGUCUUUAAUGUUUGUCCUGCCAGACCUCUUGCUUAUGAACUUCAGUGCUUGCAUUUUGCAGGGCUCCAUGUCAGUCUGCACAAACGAAAGGCAGUAAGUGCUGGAAAUUGGGGUUAACAGUCCCUGUGUUUCAGCUUGAUCUUCCAUUGAUCUGGUGCUUUCUUAAGUUCAAGCCAGACAUGAGCCUCACACUACAGAUUGCCAUGUGCCUGUAGUGAUGAUCUACUGGAAAGGUGAUCACAGAAAUCUCAGGAAUAAAAUAAAUAUUAAAAAAAAAAAAAAGAUAAAAAUGAAAAAAAAGAAGACAGCAAAAAAUUUACCUAGUAACUUAAACAGGAGCAGGAUUUGACCUGAGGCACCUUGAGAGAUGGUGUGGGCAGCACUGCACUAAUGCUGUAACAAGAGUUGAUCACCUCAUUGCUCCAGCAAAGCAAGCUCACACAGAAUCACAGAAUGGUUUGGGUCGGAAGGGACUGCAAAGAUCAUCUAGUUGAACUCCCUUGCCAUAGGCAGGGAGACCUUCUAUCAGACCAGGUUGUUCAGGGCCCCUUCCAGCCUGGCCUUGAACACUUCCAGGGGUUGGGCAUCCACAACUUCCCUGGGCAUCUGCUCAGCCUGUGCCCUACAGGUGUCCCUAUAAGUGGAUGGGGCCGAUCAAAGCCUUGCUGUCACCAGGCUGCCACCCUGCUGAUGUUACAACAGUCUGUGAGGGUGAAAAAAAAGACUCAGAAAGAGAAAAGGAUGUGUCAGAGCUGCAGAACGGCAUUGCCAAAGAACAUUCUCGUGCGUGUCCAGAGAUAGCCACUGCAGCCCAGGUCCUGUUGAAUCAUGCUGUGGUUGUUCUGGCCUUUGUGUGGGUAACAGUGAU